AGGGCACCACCAGGAGUGGAGCCUGCGGCUUAAUUUGACUCAACACGGGGAAACUUACCCGGCCUGGACACUGGAAGGAUUGACAGAUUGAGAGCUCUUUCUUGAUUCAGUGGGUGGUGGUGCAUGGCCGUUCUUAGUUGGUGGAGCGAUUUGUCUGGUUAAUUUCGAUAACGAACGAGACUCUAGCCUAUUAAAUAGGCUCUCGGCUUUUAAACGCCGGGAGGACUUCUUAGAGGGACAGGUGGCGGUUCAGCCGCACGAAAGAGAGCAAUAACAGGUCUGUGAUGCCCUUUGUUGUCCGGGGCCGCACGCGCGCUACACUGAAGAGAUCAGCGUGCUUUACGUUCCUGCUCCGACCGGAGUGGGGAACCCAGUGAACCUUCUUCGUGAUUGGGAUAGAAGAUUGUAAUUAUUCUUCUUGAACGAGGAAUUCCCAGUAAAUGCGAGUCAUAAGCUCGCGUUGAUUACGUCCCUGCCCUUUGUACACACCGCCCGUCGCUACUACCGAUUGAACGAUUU
rnacentral:rRNA from 1 species